GCAGCUGCUCAAGAAAAAGCAGAAUGAAUGGAUGAUUCAAGAUCUUGAGCCUCAGAUUCAGAAUGAACGGAAGAAUAGUGAAAAACGCUUAAAUAAGGAAAAUGAUGAACUUAGGGAAAAGCUCGACGAAUCUGGCGCUGGUCUCGUCGCGGGUUCAGAACGAUAUAUUUGGAUUUGCGAUAAAAAAUCUAGAACUAUCUGGAUUUGCUAGGCAAGUUUUUCUAUUAAAACAGUUCAGGGAACAUAAAUUUGAAAA
rnacentral:lncRNA from 1 species